CAGACACGGAGCAGCUGAGCACCAUCCCGUCUGUGACUCCAGCAUGUGACCUGCCGCCCCGCGGCCUGUCUACCCAGAUGGCCACUUUCCUCUCCUCGGCCCCCCCUCCAUCCCCUCACAGCUGAGCCGGCCCCCCCGAGGGCCACGGGGGGGCCGAUCCACCGACAGCUCGCCGAGCCCGCCGCUAACCAGCGAGCCCAACGCCGAGCCGGGCCCGAGUUGCGUGCGGCUCGGUGGGCUGAGGGACUAAACGAUGUGUUGGUACGUAGAAAGGAUCACACAGAAGAAUUGAGGACUGGAAAAGCCUUCUCGUCAUCGUCGUGAUCUUCAUCUCCCUGAAUUCGCAGAGUCAACCCGUCGAUGUGAACAUCGACCUCGUGCAGCCUGACACCUGUGAAGUCGCCGUACUCAGACUGCCUUCCACGUCCCAUAAUCCCUUGCUUUGUCUCCUCGUUGGCAAGCCCGGCCAAUCAAAGACUUUAACUGGGUGAGUGAUGGGAGGCAGGAUGAACCAAUUACCGCGGCGACGACUGUAACCCCCCCGCCCCCCCC
ensembl:lncRNA